rnacentral:rRNA from 1 species
GAUGAACGCUGGCGGCGUGCCUAAUACAUGCAAGUCGAGCGAACAGACGAGGAGCUUGCUCCUCUGACGUUAGCGGCGGACGGGUGAGUAACACGUGGAUAACCUACCUAUAAGACUGGGAUAACUUCGGGAAACCGGAGCUAAUACCGGUUAUUUUUUUAAACCGCAUGUUUCAUUAUUGAAAGACGGUUUUGUUUUCAUUUUUGAUUGGUUCCGCGCCGCAUUAGCUAGUUGGUAAGGUAACGGCUUACCAAGGCAACGAUGCGUAGCCGACCUGAGAGGGUGAUCGGCCACACUGGAACUGAGACACGGUCCAGACUCCUACGGGAGGCAGCAGUAGGGAAUCUUCCGCAAUGGGCGAAAGCCUGACGGAGCAACGCCGCGUGAGUGAUGAAGGUCUUCGGAUCGUAAAACUCUGUUAUUAGGGAAGAACAAAUGUGUAAGUAACUAUGCACGUCUUGACGGUACCUAAUCAGAAAGCCACGGCUAACUACGUG